AGAGAUUUGGACUUUCUGCAUCUGUGACUACUGAUGAUGAGGCAAAGAAGAAAGCUCGUCUUGCUAGGUUUUCAUCAACAUCAAAGCCAGACCCCCAGGAGGAAGAAAAGAGGAAAGCAAGGGCAAUCAGGUUUUCUAAUCCAACAUCAAACUCUCUCACACAAGUGGAAGGGAAAGGAAAUGUUGAGACGAUUGCAGAUGUUGCAGGCAAGGCUGGAG
rnacentral:misc_RNA from 1 species